AAGUUAUAAUCAUAGUAAACGUCGCCCCCUUCCGUCACUAAGAUAUGGACUAGAAUCGCUCGGCGCUGCCUGCUGAAAUGUGCUGCUUGUACAGCAACGCCACAGACUCUCCAGCAGCGCUUCUCAGCGGUACUGAACUAUAAUCAGGUGGAGAUUAACAUCUUUACGGAUUCGGGGAUUUUAACAGGGAUGGCAUUGGAAGUCCGCGCGUGUGGUUUCCCUCCUUACAAAAACCAAACGCCUAGAUACUCCAAAAAUGAAAUCUCACCACUACUAUUAACGCCAGAAAACAUCUGCAAUCAAAUAGUUAAAAUGAUUAUAUCUCCUCACGCUAAAAGGCAUCCAACAGCACUACUAGCUGAUCCACAUGACCCAGGGUUUGUACUGAAUGACCACGUGCACAUAACGCAAAAGGUCAACUUUUCAAAUUAGGAGAGAAAACGCUUUAUGUGAAAUACUUGAACCUCCUCACAGUUAAAUUGAGCAUGCAUAGCAAUGAGGCGCUAUCUCCGGGCGACAGUCAGAGCGGGCGUGGUAACAACGUACACUUGACGGUUUUGUUUUACGAGCUGAACUAAUGAACAGCAAUUUGGAGAAUAAAGUAAACAAAUCACAGCGCAGAGUUUACUUUGGGGAAAGGCGUUUCUAUGAAGUUUGGAUGCUGGUGGGUUAGGGGAGGAUUUCCUAUUGCAGUUCUGAACGAAUUCCCACUUCCCCUCUCCGCUGUUCUACAGUGGCGAAGGCUAGACGCUACCUUCUGCUAAUAGGCUACACGCACAAAAGAAACUACGCUGGGCAUUACACAGCUGGGGCAAAAGGUUCAGCCCCAGGCCCCUAGUUGGUCAGCUUGGCUUUUGUAAACUUCAGCUCGUUUGCAGGUGGAUUUGGCCAUGACAAUGGGCUAACAAGUAAUCUCUUCCCAAUACCCUCUGCUAAAUACCUUCACAUUAUACUGUACUAGCAUAGCAUUACGGCUACUCCAUAAAUCAGAGGAUUAUGUCACAAACGCUUGAAAUGAAGUGGAGAGAAAAUAUCAUGGGAUCGUCACCUGAAAUAGAAGAUAACGUCUUUUCAGUAAUAUUUGUGUUGCUGAUCCUUAUCCUCUCAAGGAAAACACCAAUUGACUUCAAUCAGUGCAGUAGAAUCCCUGCUAAAUUAGCCCAGAAUAAGGAGUAUGGAUUAAACAGGAGGUUUUUCCUAAAUUGGAAAAUGAAUGAUCCAGAAUUGGGCAAUUCAAGAAAAAGCACUGAUUGGCUCUGAAGGUAUUAGUGUCUUCCUCAACCAGAUGGAGUGUCUUUAUAACGUAAGGUAGCUGAAGGCAAAGAAAGCAAAGGGUGAAAACCAAGGCUGCAAGGAAUACAAGGGAAAAAAGUGGACAAUACUAUAUAUAUCUUCUAUUUCAUUUGCACAAUCAGGCACAUCUCACUUAAAUAUUUGUAUCAUUCCAUAAACUGCAUCAUGGCCAAUCUCCCAACUAAGUAUUUAAAAAAAAUAUGCCUCAAUUUGGUAAAUACCAUCUAAAAAUGUAAAUUGCACUGUCAAUCUUCCCUACUGUCGAACAAAAUUGUACACACACAUCAAAUCUAUCAAUCCAUUCCACUAAUAGUUCAGAUGUGAUCCAGUCAGAUUCCACUUGCUGUCCACCAACAGGAAGCAGCAGCAGAAGUUUAACUAAAGCAAGGUAAGAAAAAGUGUACCAAAUAAUAUAAACAGUUCAUAACUGGAAACUUAAUAUUUUAUAUGUUGUAGACGGGAUUUAGCAAAAGGGAACAUGUUAGAGCUGAUUACAUCCCAACUGAAGCUACAAGGAGCUCUUACAGGACACACAUUCUUCCAUACAACCAGAUGAAGGCUACUGUGAAAGAUUAAUAAGCAAUGCUUUCCUUACUGUACUUAAUUCCUUGGAAAUGAACAUUAUUUCCUUAAAAUUAUUGUAUUCCAUUAUACACAGAGAGAAGACAUUUGUUUAUUAUCAUAGGGCUACUUCUCUCAACAGAUAAUGCUCAGUUAAAAACAAAAUAGACUAACACCUAACUUUCAUUCUAAAAUGAAUGUAGUGUUCAUGAAAGAUGCCACACAUCCACAGUAUUGAAAACUGAAAUCCUAUUUGUCCACAGGCAGAUAUAGCACAGGAAAAUGCAGCACAAAUUUCCCUAUGGUGGCCAUUCAAUGUAUUUUAAUACUGACUUACAGGAUUUAUUUAUUCAGGUCAGAGGGAUUUUAAAUUUCUAUAUCCAUUCAGUCUCUGGACUCUGUGGCU
ensembl:lncRNA